AGUGCCAGGAGCCAGCCCCAAACAAGAGCUCAUGUGACCAGUCUUCCUAAGUAGAGGCUUCCAAAGGUGAUGAAACAACUGGAUUCAACUACUGUGUAAUCAACUGUGGUCAGGUAAAGGG
rnacentral:lncRNA from 1 species